rnacentral:pre_miRNA from 1 species
AGUAUAAUUGCUGGGUCAUCUGGUAAAUCCUUUUUUAAUUUGAAAAGGAACCAUUGGGCUGUUUUCCAAAGUGGCUACACCAUUUCUCUUUCCUACCAGCAGU